AUUGAACGCUGGCGGCAGGCCUAACACAUGCAAGUCGAGCGGAUGAGUGGAGCUUGCUCCAUGAUUCAGCGGCGGACGGGUGAGUAAUGCCUAGGAAUCUGCCUGGUAGUGGGGGACAACGUUUCGAAAGGAACGCUAAUACCGCAUACGUCCUACGGGAGAAAGCAGGGGACCUUCGGGCCUUGCGCUAUCAGAUGAGCCUAGGUCGGAUUAGCUAGUAGGUGAGGUAAAGGCUCACCUAGGCGACGAUCCGUAACUGGUCUGAGAGGAUGAUCAGUCACACUGGAACUGAGACACGGUCCAGACUCCUACGGGAGGCAGCAGUGGGGAAUAUUGGACAAUGGGCGAAAGCCUGAUCCAGCCAUGCCGCGUGUGUGAAGAAGGUCUUCGGAUUGUAAAGCACUUUAAGUUGGGAGGAAGGGCAGUAAGUUAAUACCUUGCUGUUUUGACGUCACCAACAGAAUAAGCACCGGCUAACUUCGUGCCAGCCGCCGCCGUAAUAC
rnacentral:rRNA from 1 species